UCGCCUGUUUAUCAAAAACAUCGCUGGGAAUAGACUCCCAGUCAAAUCUGCCCGGUGAGCGUUAAACGGCCGCAGUAUCCUAACUGUGCUAAGGUAGCAUAAUCAUUAGCUUUUUAAUUGAAAGCUCGUAUGAACGAUCCGACGAGAAACUUUCUGUUUCGAACGCGCUAAAAACUUACUAAGGGAGUCAAAAACCUCCCUUCUUCCAAUAGGACGACAAGACCCUGCAAAACUUCACCCAUCCCGUCCCCGCUUAGAAACAGGAUCCUCCGGGUUCGGGUUUCGCUGGGGCGGCGAUAAUCUGCACAAACGCUUAACACCCCAACAUGCUGUAUGAUCUUUACGAACUUUCUAAAUCAAGAUCAAGUUACUUCAGGGAUAACAGCGCAAUGGGUUUUUAGAGUCCUUAUCGACAAACCCGCUUACGACCUCGAUGUUGAAUUGAAACCCCUUCUUAAGAGCAGAAACUAUGAGAAGGAAGUCUGUUCGACUUUUAAAUUUUCACAUGAUCUGAGUUCAAACCGGA
rnacentral:rRNA from 1 species